GUGCAAAAUAAGCCGCUGAAGACUUUUUACAAGCGAGGAAGUUACUCCAGCCCCGUUCCCCCUACCAGAUGUCACUGUUUAUUUUGAGAGCAGGAAGAAACAUAAGAGCUGAAAACAGUUGCAUUCAGAGAAGAGACCCCUCUUUUGUCCCGCCAGGAUUAAUCCCUCCGUGAGGUUUACUGCAACAACUGCGAUCA